GAUGAACGCUGGCGGCGUGCCUAAUACAUGCAAGUCGAGCGAACGGACGAGAAGCUUGCUUCUUUGAUGUUAGCGGCGGACGGGUGAGUAACACGUGGAUAACCUACCUAUAAGUCUGGGAUAACUUCGGGAAACCGGAGCUACUACCGGAUAAUAUUUUGAACCGCAUGGUUCAAAAGUGCAUGACGGUCUUGCUGUCACUUAUAGAUGGUUCCGCGCUGCAUUAGCUAGUUGGUAAGGUAACGGCUUACCAAGGCAACGAUGCAUAGCCGACCUGAGAGGGUGAUCGGCCACACUGGAACUGAGACACGGUCCAGACUCCUACGGGAGGCAGCAGUAGGGAAUCUUCCGCAAUGGGCGAAAGCCUGACGGAGCAACGCCGCGUGAGUGAUGAAGGUCUUCGGAUCGUAAAACUCUGUUAUUAGGGAAGAACAGAUGUGGAAGUAACUGUGCACAUCUUGACGGUACCUAAUCAGAAAGCCACGGCUAACUACGUG
rnacentral:rRNA from 1 species